GACGAACGCUGGCGGCGUGCUUAACACAUGCAAGUCGAACGGAAAGGCCCUUCUUGCUGGGUACUCGAGUGGCGAACGGUUGAGUCACACGUUGGUGAUCUGCCCUGCACUUCGGGAUAAGCCUUGGUAACUGGUUCUCAUACCGGAUAGGAGCCAUUUUUAGUGUGAUGGUUGGAAAGUUUUUUCGGUGUAGGAUGAGCUCGCGGCCUAUCAGCUUGUUGGUGGGGUAAUGGCCUACCAAGGCGGCGACGGGUAGCCGGCCUGAGAGGGUGGCCGGCCACAUUGGGACUGAGAUACGGCCAAGACUCCAACGGGAGGCAGCAGUGGGGAAGAGUGCAAAAGGGGCGCAAGCCUGAUGCAGCGACGCCGCGUGGGGGAUGACGGCCUUGGGGUUGGAAACGCAUUUCGCUAGGGACGAAGCAGUUUGUGACGGUACCUAGAGAAGAAGCACCGGCUAACUACGUG
rnacentral:rRNA from 1 species